GCUCAGAUGGUUAAGCAUCAGACUCCUGAUUUCAGUUCAGGUCAUGAUCUCACUGUGGGUUCGAGCCCCAUACUGGGCU
rnacentral:tRNA from 1 species